GAACGGCCAUUGAUACUGCUGGACUUGAAUUAUUGGGAAGCAACUAGAAUAUGUAGUGUAGCGGUGAAAUGCUUAGAGAUUACAUGGAAUACCAAUUGCGAAGGCAGGUUGCUACCAAUGGAUUGACGCUGAUGGACGAAAGCGUGGGUAGCGAACAGGAUUAGAUACCCUGGUAGUCCACGCCGUAAACGAUGGAUACUAGCUGUUGGGCGCAAGUUCAGUGGCUAACCGAAAGUGAUAAGUAUCCCACCUGGGGAGUACGAACGCAAGUUUGAAACUCAAAUAAAUUGACGGGAGG
rnacentral:rRNA from 1 species